AUUGAACGCUGGCGGCAGGCCUAACACAUGCAAGUCGAGCGGAGGAAGGGAGCUUGCUCCUGGAUUCAGCGGCGGACGGGUGAGUAAUGCCUAGGAAUCUGCCUGGUAGUGGGGGAUAACGUCCGGAAACGGGCGCUAAUACCGCAUACGUCCUGAGGGAGAAAGUGGGGGAUCUUCGGACCUCACGCUAUCAGAUGAGCCUACGUCGUAUUAGCUAGUUGGUGGGGUAAAGGCCUACCAAGGCGACGAUCCGUAACUGGUCUGAGAGGAUGAUCAGUCACACUGGAACUGAGACACGGUCCAGACUCCUACGGGAGGCAGCAGUGGGGAAUAUUGGACAAUGGGCGAAAGCCUGAUCCAGCCAUGCCGCGUGUGUGAAGAAGGUCUUCGGAUUGUAAAGCACUUUAAGUUGGGAGGAAGGGCAGUAAGUUAAUACCUUGCUGUUUUGACGUUACCAACAGAACAAGCACCGGCUAACUUCGUG
rnacentral:rRNA from 1 species